UACGGGGGGGGCAAGCGUUGUUCGGAAUUACUGGGCGUAAAGGGCUCGUAGGCGGCCAACUAAGUCGGAUGUGAAAUCCCCAGGCUCAACUUGGGAACUGCAUCCGAUACUGGAUGGCUUGAAUCCGGGAGAGGGAUGCAGAAUUCCUGGUGUAGCGGUGAAAUGUGUAGAGAUCGGGAGGAACACCGGUGGCGAAGGCGGGUCUCUGGGCAAUUCCUGACGCUGAGGCGCGAAAGCGUGGGGAGCAAACGGG
rnacentral:rRNA from 1 species